CCGCGGUAAGACAGAGGGUGCAAACGUUGUUCGGAUUUACUGGGCGUAAAGCGUGCGCAGGCGGUUUGCUAAGACAGGUGUGAAAUCCCCGGGCUUAACCUGGGAAUUGCGCUUGUAACUGGCAAGCUAGAGUGUAGCAGAGGGGGGUAGAAUUCCACGUGUAGCAGUGAAAUGCGUAGAUAUGUGGAGGAAUACCGAUGGCGAAGGCAGCCCCCUGGGUUAACACUGACGCUCAUGCACGAAAGCGUGGGGAGCAAACAGG
rnacentral:rRNA from 1 species